rnacentral:lncRNA from 1 species
AGGUACUUAUAAUUAUUCUAUGUACGAAUCAAAAAUGUUAAUUUUUAAUUCCAUUCAAAUUUGAGGUCUCAGAACAAAGGCGCUCAAAAAUGUGUGGCUUGAUAGUAUUAUUUAAAAAAAGAUGGGGGUCAUUUUAAUUUUGGGAAGACAAAAGAUUUUUUCAAUAACUAAUAUUCAGUAAAAGCAACCACAAGUCUCCAGCAGCUUCAGUUACUAAGGAUUCUUCGGGUAUAGACAUUAUUGCCUGGGAAACUCUGAAUGUGGAGAGGACUCUCUACCUGCUUGCUGCAUACGCUGGCUUAAGCAAGGCACUGACAGAUGGUUUUAUAUAAUUGACAAAUGAAUCCAAGCCAGUAAUUUCAUUUUCUUUUCUUAAGUAAACAUUUAAAAAAAUUUGUAAUCAAAUGAUAUUUAUGAAUAACAAGCACAGAUCUCCAUCACCCUAUAGUAGCUUUGAAUUUGUAGACAACACGACUGUAUGCAAUGUCACCGGGGGGAACUUGGAAUGGGAAAAGGAAUUUCCAGCCUAUUCGCUGCAUAUGCUGGCGUGUUCGAGUCUUGCAUCAGAAGUGCUGAGUGGUGCUUUCAUAGUAUUAUCAUAAGAAAACCAGACUAGUGUUUUACAUAGUCUCUGUAAUUUUGGGAGCAGGAAGUACUUGUGAAUUGAUGAGUCUUAAGGUGCACAGUGCACAUGCCAAGCAGCUUCAGUAACUUGGACAGGAUUUAUUACCUGGUUAACUUGGACUGUGGACUUAGACUCUAAAAUUUUGGGAGAAGAAAAUAUUUCUUUGUUAAGUCUUAAGGAACAGCUAGCACUGAUCUCUGUCACCUUUAGAAGCUGUGAGUUUGUUGGCAAUUUGUUGGAGUCUUGCAUCAGAGGCCUGAAUGGUGCAUCCAUUGUAUUAUCAUAAGAAAACAAGGACUGUGUUUUACAUGGUCUCUUUAAUUUUGGGAGGAGAAAAUACUUGUGAAUUGAUGAGUCUUUAGUAAUAGCAGGUGCACAUACCUCCAGCUGCUUCAGUUACUUAGACAGUAUUUAUAACCUGGUUAACUCGGACUGAGGGAAGGACUCUCCAGUCUGCUUGCUGUAUAUGCUGGCUUCGUGGAGUCCCACAGCAGGAAGCACUCAAAGGUGGUUUUAUAUAAUUGACAAGUGAAUGCAAGCCAGUAAUUUCAAUUUUCUUUUCUACAAUUAAAAUACGAUAAAAUUUGUAUUCAAAUGAUAUGCAUGGAUGGCAAGCACAGAUCUCCAUCAGCUUCAGUAGCCUUGAAUUUGUUGGCAACAUUGCAUUAAGCAAUGUCGCAUGGAGAACUCGGAGUGGAAAAAGGAAUUUCCAGCCUCCUCACUGCACACGCUGGCUUGAUCGAGUUUUGCAUUGGAGCUGCUGAAUGGUGUUUUCUAAGUAUUAUCAUAAAAAAACCAGCCCAGUGUUUUACAUAAUAAUUUUCAUUUUGGGAGCAGAAAAUAUUUGUGAAAUGAUAAGUCUGUAGAAGUAGCAUGAGAACUUGGAGCGUGAAAAGGAAUUUCCAGCCUGUUCGCUUCAUACACAGACUCGUUCAAGUCUUGCAUCAAAGACCCUGCAUGGUGCAAUUAUAGUAUUAUCUUAACAAAUCCAGACCAGUCUUUUGCGUAGUCUCUUUUAUUUGAGGAGCAGAUAAUAUUUGUGAAUUGAUAAGUCUACAGAAGUACCAUGUGAACUUGGAGGGUGAAAAGGAAUUUCCAGCCUGUUCGCUGCAUACCCUGGCCUGUUCGAUUCUUGCAUCAAAUGCCCUGAAUGGUGCAUCCAUUGUAUUAUCAUAAGAAAACAAGGACUGUGUUUUACAUGGUCUCUUUAAUUUUGGGAGGAGAAAAUACUUGUGAAUUGAUGAGUCUUUAGUAAUAGCAGGUACA